CCGCAGCCUCGGGACCGCCUGGACCACGUCUGGACCAGGGUCUUCCGUGCGGCUGACCGUCCCUCAUGUCGGGGACCAGCGGCCGGACCCAGGAGCCUCCUGAUCACGGAUACAAACACGCAACCCACCGGGGAUCUGACAUCCGUCCACAGCCCGCCGUGCAGAUGGGAUUUAUCGAUCUGAUCCACGCGCUCACCUGUUUGUCUGCACACAAACUCAUGCACAUCUGGAUCCCCGCUGAUGCUGCGUCCCUCCUUUUGCCACAUGUGGAUGUUUUAGGUCUCCGUGGAUGCAGGAGGAGGAAUCUUCCACCAUCACAAGAAGCCUCAGAUUUACCUUUUUGCUGUUCUGAGAAAGAACGGAGCCUGUUCCUGUCUUUGGUUAUCUAGCUGUAUGAGUGUUAAUCAGCCAUCAUAAAGCUAGAUAACCGAAAGUAGGAAUGACCUCCAAGUCCUCCUCCACGAGGUGAAACCGGAAAAGAAACACCGGCUCAGGAGGACAUCAAGUCUCUGCAGAAAUGGACCAUAAUGAAAGUGGUGCCACAACAUGCUGUGGAGGAUUUUCAUAUCAGUCUGUUGGAACUAGCGGCCAAAACCUGAAGUCUUUUCUCAGUACAACAAGCCUGAACAUAAUGAGACAACAUUUUGGAAGGGGUUUUGUGUCACUUUAUGCAAGAUAGACUAAACAAAAAGUUACCAGUUCACCGUAAAUAAAAUAUGUUUACACUUUUUAUGCUGCAAAACCGCAUGUUUAAAACAUUUUUGUAUUUUAAAAACACAAUCCAGAUUCUUUAUGUUUUUUUAAUGUGUUGUAUGUUCUAGAAAAAAAAAUGUAAGAGCAAUUUCUGCAAAAUUAGCAAAAGUACAAAUGGAUUUUUUACUGUGAUGCCAGUUUAUUUGAAUUGUUUUUUCCCAAAAUGGUUGUUUCCACAUUGUUAUUGUCUCUUUAUUUUGAUUUUAAUAAUGUAUGAAUGAUUUGUCUAAAAAUUACACUGAUAUUAAUUUUGUAUUAACAUUUUAAGAAGAUAAUGUUGAAAGGUUCUUAUUUGUUGAAAUUAUUCAAAUGGUAUUUGAGAUUGUUGAAGGAAGGUGAUUGAAAUGUGUUUGCUCUUUACUCAAUAAAAUGACCCAGAAAUGUGA